CCACACGCUCAUGUAAAGUUAAAAUUUAGGUAGAAAAAAAAUAUAUUUUCAAUUCACCAACCAAACACCAUAAAAUAUUUUCCACUCAGCAACCAAACAUAAGAAAAUAAAUAAAAUACCAACUUAUUUUCGAUGCAAAAUAUUUUCCAUCAUACCAAACACACCCUAAGAGCAGCUAUAGUGGCAUUCAACCUCUUAAUCUUUGUCUCCAGGAACCCAAAUAAGCCAACUUUGCUGUUGGUGAGAAAUAUAUUCAUUUCUUUCUAUUUAUUUAGCUUAUUUAGUACCCCGAUGUUCCGAAAACCAAGUCUAUCCAGCGGGGGGGGAGAGGGGGGGGGGGGGGGUAGUUCCACCCCUCCCUGUGCUUAGACCCACUCUUUUUAUAUUAGGACUCUCAUUGUCAUGACCCUGCUGCUGUUCUUCUCCCCCCCUCCCCUAUUACUAGGCUCAGGUGGUAGCAUUUCUGCAUCAGGACCAGUGCCCUGUUGCCUUUGCUUGCCCUCAUCUAAUCUGUCUUCUUCCUUAAAUAAGGCAAAGGAAUUGUGAGUUGUAUGGAUUUAUCCUUCAGUUGCACCCCAGCCUUCUUGGGGCUCUGUUGCUUGCCCUGGAUCAUGUUAUUUCCUGCUGCUUUGUGUGGAGUGGAUACAGACUUUCCCUAUCGUUGUGCCCCUUUCUCAUUUACCUCCCUUAACAGACCCCUGCAAGUUUUCUUGGUAUGACCAAAGUUCUUACAAUGCUCACAAAGAGUUUUCUUCCAUUCAUACUCUACCUCUUGCUCGACGACCUUCCCUAACUCAUUCUCAAACAUAAUCAUAUCAGGAUAAAGCUGAUUCAAGGGCACUUCAACCAUAACCCUUGCAUACAUCAAUUUCUCUUUUGAUGUAGUAGCUGUAUCUGCCUUCACAGAAUUCUCCACAAGCCCAACUUAGUCAAAACAUUGCAACCCCAAUACUUCUAAUCCAGCCAUAUGAGCUUGAUCCAAUUUGGCACCUGUUCAACCAUAACUCUGCUAAGCUUCAUGUUCGAUUGCCAUGGUUUCACUACUACCAACUUCCGAUCAAAUAUUUGCAUACCUUUCUCCACUACCUGAGUACGACUAUCCACACUAUAAAAUCAAACCAUAAACACUCCUUUGUUCAGCUGAACAACUUUAUCCACAUCCAGGGAUCCCUAAAUUCAUUUGAAAAAACCUCAAACACUGCAAGUGGUGGAUUAGAACCCAGAACAAAGCAUUAUGUUCAAGCUCUUCCUUUACAUAAUCAAGUGUGAUUUUGACAUUGAGCCCCAAGUUUGCCUCGCUUGUCAAAUCAAAACCCUCUAUCGGUAUAGUUCUCCCCACCAUAACACACCACAAUUUUCCCCUAAUUUCAGAGUGCACAAUCUCUUCUAAGCUAACCACUUCCUCCUAUUCAACUUGCUUAGUUCAGGAAUUGAGCCUGGUUUCCAAAUCCUCAAUGAUGAUGCAUUUGUCGAAGGCGAAAUUGCUUGUCCUUGCUUUAAAUCUUAGUCUAGUGGUAAAACCCCCUGAAUCACACUGAGACUUCGGGUACAUCGCCCGUUUGUGGGCCUCUCCUGAUCAUCCUAGCCACCAAUUGCCGCCCUCUGCCUCCAUUGCUGUCAUUACUCCUUCCUCUAGGUUUCAAUUUCCUCGCCAUAUCAUCCCUAGUAGCUAAGAGGAGACUUCAUUUUAGAGAGAGAAAUUCUUUGAUUAUAUCAUCUUCUAUUUGAAAUUGAAGAUCGAUAUCAUUAUUUCUAUCAAUGUCCUUGAGUCUUUAAUUCGUUUUUUAAAACUGAAUAUAAAAU
rnacentral:lncRNA from 1 species